rnacentral:rRNA from 1 species
ACUCCUACGGGAGGCAGCAGUGGGGAAUAUUGGACAAUAGGGGCAACCCUGAUCCAGCCAUGCCGCGUGAGUGAAGAAGGCCUUCGGGUUGUAAAGCUCUUUCAGAUGCGAAGAUGAAAAAGGUAACAUCAGAAGAAGCCCCGGCUAAUUUCGUGCCAGCAGCCGCGGUAAUACGGAGGGGGUUAGCGUUGUUCGGAAUUACUGGGCGUAAAGCGCGCGUAGGCGGAUUAGAAAGUAUGGGGUGAAAUCCCAGGGCUCAACCCUGGAACUGCCUCAUAAGCUACUAGUCUAGAGUUCGAGAGAGGUGAGUGGAAUUGUGAGUGUAGAGGUGAAAUUCGUAGAUAUUCACAGGAACACCAGUGGCGAAGGCGGCUCACUGGCUCGAUACUGACGCUGAGGUGCGAAAGCGUGGGGUGCAAACAGGAUUAGAUACCCUGGUAGUCCACGCCGUAAACCCACACGCUAGUUGUCGGGAUUUCGAUUUCGGUGACGCAGCUAACGCAUUAAGCACUCCGCCUGGG